rnacentral:rRNA from 1 species
CCUACGGGAGGCAGCAGUGAGGAAUAUUGGUCAAUGGCCGUAAGGCUGAACCAGCCAAGCAGCGUGAGGGAAGACUGCCCUAUGGGUUGUAAACCUCUUUUAUGCGGGGACAAAGGUUUCCACGCGUGGAUGUUUGCAGGUACCGCAUGAAUAAGGACCGGCUAAAUCCGUGCCAGCAGCCGCGGUAAUACGGAAGGUCCGGGCGUUAUCCGGAUUUAUUGGGUUUAAAGGGAGCGUAGGCCGGUCUUUAAGCGGGCCGUGAAAUGUUGGGGCUCAACCAUGAGCGUGCGGCGCAAACUGGAGACCUUGAGUGCGCGGAAGGCAGGCGGAAUGCGUGGUGGAGCGGUGAAAUGCUUAGAUAUCGCGAAGAACCCCGAUUGCGAAGGCAGCCUGCCGCAGCGUUACUGACGCUGAAGCUCGAAAGCGCGGGUAUCGAACAGGAUUAGAUACCCCGGUAGUC